GGGCACACGGAGGAAGCCUAGGAGUCAAGUGCCUAUGAAGGACGGGGCUAACACCGAAAUGCCCCGGGGAGCCGCAAGCAGGCUGUGAUCCGGGGGUAUCCGAAUGGGGAAACCCACCUGUGAGGAGCACAGGUACUCAUAUACCGAAGUGAGUAGGUUGUAUGAGAGGCAAGCGGGGGAAGUGAAACAUCUCAGUACCCCGAGUAGAAGAAAGCAAGUGCGAUUUUCUGAGUAGAGGCGAUCGAAAGGGAAAGGGCCCAAACCAUAUGUGAAUGCAUAUGGGGUUGUAGGACAUAUUCAAUAAGGUUGCUGUAGUUCCAUAGGAGAAGUGGACCUGGGAAGGCCUGCCAGAGAAGGUGAAAGCCCUGUAGCCGAAAUGGAACAUGAACGAUCUGGAUGUGAUCCUGAGUACGUCUUGGCACGAGAAACCGAGACGGAAGCAGGGAGGACCACCUCCCAAGGCUAAACACGCUUGACUACCGAUAGUGAAGUAGUACCGUGAGGGAAAGGUGAAAAGCACCCCAAAAGGGGAGUGAAAGAGAACCUGAAACCGUGUGCUUAACGGACGGUCGGAGCUUGUGGUGGAUUUAUCCAUCAGCGAGUGACGGCGUGCCUUUUGAAGAAGGAACCGGCGAGUGUAAGUAGCAUGCAAGGUUAAGGUCUGCUAAGGACCGGAGCCGAAGCGAAAGCGAGUCGAUUAAGGGCGCAUAGUAUGUUGUUUACGACCCGAAGCCGGGUGAGCUACCCAUGUCCAGGAUGAAGUGGCGGUAAGACGCUAUGGAGGUCCGAACCCAAGGGUGUUGCAAAACCCUGGGAUGAGGUGUGGGUAGGGGUGAAAUGCCAAUCGAACCCGGCGAUAGCUGGUUCUCCCCGAAAUGGCUUUAGGGUCAGCCUGCAGUGUUGCUCAAUAGGAGGUAGAGCUCUGGAUGCGCGAGGGGCCCGCGAGGGUUACCAAGUGCAACUAAACUACGAAUGCCUAUAGAGAAAGCUGUGGAGUGAGACUGUGUGCGCUAAGGUACAUGGUCAAGAGGGAAACAGCCCAGACCAUCAGCUAAGGUCCCAAAGUCACAGCUAAGUGGUGAAGGAAGUGAAUUUGCGAAGACAGCCAGGAUGUUGGCUUGGAAGCAGCCAUCAUGGAAGGAGUGCGUAACAGCUCACUGGUCGAGUGGAUUUGCGCCGAAAAUGUAACGGGGCUAAGCUGUGCACCGAAGCUAUGGAUAUUAUGUAAAUAAUGUGGUAGGGGAGCGUUCUGUGUUGCAAAGAAGCCGAACUGAGAAGUGAGGUGGAGUACACAGAAGUGAGAAUGCCGGUAUGAGUAGCAAAAGAGGGGUUAGAAUCCCCUCCACCGAAAGCCUAAGGGUUCCUGGGGAAGGAUUAACCACCCAGGGUUAGUCGGGGCCUAAGCCGAGGCGUAAGAGCGUAGGCGAUGGACAACAGGUUUAUAUUCCUGUACCGGUUACACGCGUUAAAACGAAGGGGAGACGCAGGUGGUUGACUGUGGCGUGCGGAUGGAAGUGCGCGUUCAAGCGGCAAGCGAGUGUAGGGAGGGAAAUCCCCCUAUGCGAUGAGGGAGCCGUGAUGAGGACGGGUUGAAACCCGGAAGAGCAGAAGAUCGUGCUGCCAAGAAAAGCCUCUAGGAGUGUGUAAGCGCCCGUACCGUAAACCGACACAGGUGGGCAAGGAGAGUAUCUAAAGGUGAGCGGGAGAACGUUUGUUAAGGAACUCGGCAACAUAGCCCCGUAACUUCGGGAGAAGGGGUGCUCCUUUCUAUAAAAGGAGAGGAGCCGCAGUGAAGAGGUCCAGGCGACUGUUUACCAAAAACACAGGUCUCUGCAAAGCCGAAAGGCGAAGUAUAGGGGCUGACGCCUGCCCGGUGCUGGAAGGUAAAGGGGAAGAGUUGGCGCUCAGAACCGAAGCCCCAGUAAACGGCGGCCGUAACCGUAGCGGUCCUAAGGUAGCGAAAUUCCUUGUCGGGUAAAUUCCGACCUGCACGAAAGGCGUAACGAUCUGGACAGUGUCUCAACAAGCGACCCGGUGAAAUUGCAAUGUCUGUGAGGAUGCAGGCGACCCGCGGCAAGACGGAAAGACCCCGUGGAGCUUUACUGCAGCUUGGUAUUGAGCUGAUGGCGCGCAUGUACAGGAUAGGUGGGAAUCAGUGAAACAUAUGCGCUAGCAUGUGUGGAGAUAACCGUGGGAUACCACCCUUGUACGUUGUUGGUUCUCACUGAUAUUCCUAGACGGGAUACAGGAAAGUGCCAGGUGGGCAGUUUGACUGGGGCGGUCGCCUCCCAAAAGGUAACGGAGGCGUUCAAAGGUUCUCUCAGCGCGGAUGGAAAUCGUGCUAAUGAGUGCAAAGGCAUAAGAGAGCCUGACUGCGAGACGUACAUGUCAAGCAGGGACGAAGGUCGGACUUAGUGAUCCGGUGGUUCCGAGUGGAAGGGCCAUCGCGCAACGGAUAAAAGCUACCCCGGGGAUAACAGGCUAAUCUCCCCCGAGGGUUCACAUCGGCGGGGAGGUUUGGCACCUCGAUGUCGGCUCAUCGCAUCCUGGGGCUGAAGGAGGUCCCAAGGGUUGGGCUGUUCGCCCAUUAAAGCGGUACGCGAGCUGGGUUCAGAAC
rnacentral:rRNA from 1 species